CUUAACACAUGCAAGUCGAGGGGCAGCAUGGUCUUAUCUUGCUAAGGCCGAUGGCGACCGGCGCACGGGUGAGUAACACGUAUCCAACCUGCCGUCUACUCUUGGACAGCCUUCUGAAAGGAAGAUUAAUACAAGAUGGCAUCAUGAGUCCACAUGUUCACAUGAUUAAAGGUAUUCCGGUAGACGAUGGGGAUGCGUUCCAUUAGAUAGUAGGCGGGGUAACGGCCCACCUAGUCUUCGAUGGAUAGGGGUUCUGAGAGGAAGGUCCCCCACAUUGGAACUGAGACACGGUCCAAACUCCUACGGGAGGCAGCAGUGAGGAAUAUUGGUCAAUGGGCGAGAGCCUGAACCAGCCAAGUAGCGUGAAGGAUGACUGCCCUAUGGGUUGUAAACUUCUUUUAUAAAGGAAUAAAGUCGGGUAUGGAUACCCGUUUGCAUGUACUUUAUGAAUAAGGAUCGGCUAACUCCGUGCCAGCAGCCGCGGUAAUACGGAGGAUCCGAGCGUUAUCCGGAUUUAUUGGGUUUAAAGGGAGCGUAGAUGGAUGUUUAAGUCAGUUGUGAAAGUUUGCGGCUCAACCGUAAAAUUGCAGUUGAUACUGGAUAUCUUGAGUGCAGUUGAGGCAGGCGGAAUUCGUGGUGUAGCGGUGAAAUGCUUAGAUAUCACGAAGAACUCCGAUUGCGAAGGCAGCCUGCUAAGCUGCAACUGACAUUGAGGCUCGAAAGUGUGGGUAUCAAACAGGAUUAGAUACCCUGGUAGUCCACACGGUAAACGAUGAAUACUCGCUGUUUGCGAUAUACAGCAAGCGGCCAAGCGAAAGCGUUAAGUAUUCCACCUGGGGAGUACGCCGGCAACGGUGAAACUCAAAGGAAUUGACGGGGGCCCGCACAAGCGGAGGAACAUGUGGUUUAAUUCGAUGAUACGCGAGGAACCUUACCCGGGCUUAAAUUGCAGAUGAAUUACGGUGAAAGCCGUAAGCCGCAAGGCAUCUGUGAAGGUGCUGCAUGGUUGUCGUCAGCUCGUGCCGUGAGGUGUCGGCUUAAGUGCCAUAACGAGCGCAACCCUUGUUGUCAGUUACUAACAGGUUCCGCUGAGGACUCUGACAAGACUGCCAUCGUAAGAUGUGAGGAAGGUGGGGAUGACGUCAAAUCAGCACGGCCCUUACGUCCGGGGCUACACACGUGUUACAAUGGGGGGUACAGAGGGCCGCUACCACGCGAGUGGAUGCCAAUCCCAAAAACCUCUCUCAGUUCGGACUGGAGUCUGCAACCCGACUCCACGAAGCUGGAUUCGCUAGUAAUCGCGCAUCAGCCACGGCGCGGUGAAUACGUUCCCGGGCCUUGUACACACCGCCCGUCAAGCCAUGGGAGCCGGGGGUACCUGAAGUGCGUAACCGCGAGGAGCGCCCUAGGGUAAAACUGGUGACUGGGGCUAAG
rnacentral:rRNA from 1 species